rfam:Candidatus Thrbacteria bacterium RIFCSPHIGHO2_02_FTLL_57_19 rifcsphigho2_02_scaffold_13587, whole genome shotgun sequence.
GGUGAGGUGGCCGAGCGGUUGAAGGCGACAGUCUUGAAAACUGUUAGACCCGCAAGGGUCUCGUGGGUUCGAAUCCCACCCUCACCG